rnacentral:rRNA from 1 species
GCUGGCGGCGUGCCUAAUACAUGCAAGUCGUACGCUUCUUUUUCCACCGGAGCUUGCUCCACCGGAAAAAGAAGAGUGGCGAACGGGUGAGUAACACGUGGGUAACCUGCCCAUCAGAAGGGGAUAACACUUGGAAACAGGUGCUAAUACCGUAUAACAAUCGAAACCGCAUGGUUUUGAUUUGAAAGGCGCUUUCGGGUGUCGCUGAUGGAUGGACCCGCGGUGCAUUAGCUAGUUGGUGAGGUAACGGCUCACCAAGGCCACGAUGCAUAGCCGACCUGAGAGGGUGAUCGGCCACAUUGGGACUGAGACACGGCCCAAACUCCUACGGGAGGCAGCAGUAGGGAAUCUUCGGCAAUGGACGAAAGUCUGACCGAGCAACGCCGCGUGAGUGAAGAAGGUUUUCGGAUCGUAAAACUCUGUUGUUAGAGAAGAAUAAGGAUGAGAGUAACUGUUCAUCCCUUGACGGUAUCUAACCAGAAAGCCACGGCUAACUACGUGCCAGCAGCCGCGGUAAUACGUAGGUGGCAAGCGUUGUCCGGAUUUAUUGGGCGUAAAGCGAGCGCAGGCGGUUUCUUAAGUCUGAUGUGAAAGCCCCCGGCUCAACCGGGGAGGGUCAUUGGAAACUGGGAGACUUGAGUGCAGAAGAGGAGAGUGGAAUUCCAUGUGUAGCGGUGAAAUGCGUAGAUAUAUGGAGGAACACCAGUGGCGAAGGCGGCUCUCUGGUCUGUAACUGACGCUGAGGCUCGAAAGCGUGGGGAGCAAACAGGAUUAGAUACCCUGGUAGUCCACGCCGUAAACGAUGAGUGCUAAGUGUUGGAGGGUUUCCGCCCUUCAGUGCUGCAGCUAACGCAUUAAGCACUCCGCCUGGGGAGUACGACCGCAAGGUUGAAACUCAAAGGAAUUGACGGGGGCCCGCACAAGCGGUGGAGCAUGUGGUUUAAUUCGAAGCAACGCGAAGAACCUUACCAGGUCUUGACAUCCUUUGACCACUCUAGAGAUAGAGCUUCCCCUUCGGGGGCAAAGUGACAGGUGGUGCAUGGUUGUCGUCAGCUCGUGUCGUGAGAUGUUGGGUUAAGUCCCGCAACGAGCGCAACCCUUAUUGUUAGUUGCCAUCAUUCAGUUGGGCACUCUAGCAAGACUGCCGGUGACAAACCGGAGGAAGGUGGGGAUGACGUCAAAUCAUCAUGCCCCUUAUGACCUGGGCUACACACGUGCUACAAUGGGAAGUACAACGAGUCGCGAAGUCGCGAGGCUAAGCUAAUCUCUUAAAGCUUCUCUCAGUUCGGAUUGUAGGCUGCAACUCGCCUACAUGAAGCCGGAAUCGCUAGUAAUCGCGGAUCAGCACGCCGCGGUGAAUACGUUCCCGGGCCUUGUACACACCGCCCGUCACACCACGAGAGUUUGUAACACCCGAAGUCGGUGAGGUAAC